CGAGGUUAUUGAUGAUAAUUAUGUGUAGUCAUUGAUGAAAACUUUAUUAUUUUUGAAUGUCUUCUGAAGACUUUUGUACAAGACUUCCUUGAUAUUGAGAGAUUAUUAAUAAUUCAUUCUGAAGACUUUCGCUCUAACAAAAAUUUCCACUGAUGGUAUAGACUUUUGCAUGGCAGAUAUCUUAUCAUCAGCAGAAAUUCUUGUCGUAGCGAAUGUCUUGAGAAGUCA
rnacentral:lncRNA from 1 species